rnacentral:rRNA from 1 species
GCUCUUCGGUUGCAGCAAUGUAGCCGAGUGGGAGCGGCGCAAGGGUGCGUAACACGUGGGUAAUUUGCCAAAAAGUUUGGGAUAACUCGCUGAAAGGCGAGCUAAUACCGGAUGUGAUCAUCGGGCGGCAUCGUUUGAUGAUUAAAGUUGGGGACCGUAAGGCCUGACGCUUUUUGAUAAGCCCGCGGCCUAUCAGCUAGUUGGUGAGGUAACGGCUCACCAAGGCUAAGACGGGUAGCUGGUCUGAGAGGACGACCAGCCACACUGGAACUGAGACACGGUCCAGACACCUACGGGUGGCAGCAGUCGAGAAUUUUUCACAAUGGGCGAAAGCCUGAUGGAGCGACGCCGCGUGGGGGAUGAAUGGCUUCGGCCCGUAAACCCCUGUCAUUUGCGAACAAACCUUGCUAUUUAAAAGAUGGCGAGCUGAUUGUAGCGAAAGAGGAAGGGACGGCUAACUCUGUGCCAGCAGCCGCGGUAAUACAGAGGUCCCAAGCGUUGUUCGGAUUCACUGGGCGUAAAGGGUGCGUAGGUGGUGAGGUAAGUCGGAUGUGAAAGCUCCGAGCUCAACUCGGAAAUGGCAUUGGAAACUACCUUGCUCGAGGGUUUGAGG